rnacentral:rRNA from 1 species
AGAGGGUGAAACUCCCGUCCGCCUGGUAGAAUGAGUCUUUGUUCAACGAAGUCGAGUUGUUUUGGGUAGUUGUCAGCUCUAAUUUGGUUGGUAAAUUACUAUCUAAAGACUAAAUAAUUGGUGGGAGACCGAUAGCGUACAAGUACCGUGAGGGAAAGGAAUGCAAAGAACUUUGAAAAGAAGGGUUAAAGAAGUACCUGAAAUUAGCUGAAACGGAAGCGAAGGAAACCAGUGUUUGUUGGUUCAUAUUUCCUUGGCCACUUGUGGUUUGGGCACUGUGAGCUUGCGUGGGUUUGGGUUGGUUGAUCCCUUUUGAAGAGCGCAGUCAGAGUUGAUGUCU